rnacentral:rRNA from 1 species
GACGUGGGGUGCAAGCAUUAUCCGGAAUUACUGGGCGUAAAGAGUUCUGUAGGCGUCUUUUUAAGUUCUCAUUUAAAUCUCCAGGCUCAACCUGGAUUUCGGUGAGAAAACUAAAAAGAUUGAGAAAAGUAGGGACAUGGGGAACAAAUGGUGGAGCAGUGAAAUGCGUUGAUAUCAUUUGGAACACCAAAGGCGAAGGCACCAUGUUGGGCUUUUUCUGACGCUGAGAGACGAAAGCGUGGGGAGCAAAACGG